CGACAAACAUAGUCCUAACGACAACAGCGUUUGUGGUUCAAGAUUUCCGAUGUUAUCAGUGCGAAAUUAUCUAACAAGUUAGAAUCGGAUUUCGCAGACACUUGACGCUCGCCAAUACGUAAACUCCUUUUGAAAUCACUGUUGUGCGUUUCUAUUCAAUGAGUAUUUUGUUCGAUGAAACCAAUACAAAAAGAGGGCGUCCCUAGGGAGGACUAUGGGGCUGGUUACAGAUGCUUAUCGUCAGGCCAUCCUAUUCACGACUUUUUGGUUCAUACAGAUUUACACCAUUACACCGUAGGUCAUGCACCCAGAUAAUCGUGAAAGCAUCUUUUAUUUACGAAAUUAUCGUAGCGAACUCAAUAUUGCAUGAAAAAAUUCUCCCUCACUUUCUGUUCGUGUGUUUAUUUAAUAUAGUAAGAAAAAGGGUGAGUUUGCUCAGUCGGUAAAGAUAGGAGAGCUAAAUGCUCUCAGGCUAGCUGGAUGCUCCACGACAAUUUACCAUGCUUUCGUGGACAUCGGUGUUUCUACCAAUAUUUUUGUUUAUCGUCAUGAUUAACACACAACGUAAUUGAUAUAUCGUCAGCAUAGAAUUAACUAAUUGUAAAUUUUUUAGAAAAAAAAUGGUACUCACAAAACAAGAGUCUAACAAUAUGAAGUAAAUCGUAGUAGUAUAUAGUUCAUUUAAGCAGCCGGCUGGAGGCACGCAGCUGUUGAUUAGUUGUUUUCGAUUAACCUCACAAUACAUUUGGGUCCAGGAGGUCCAGGAGCAGGCACUGCGUCGGCUGCUGAUCUUUGUCAGGCGAGGUGCUAAAAUUGUGCACAACGAUGUUGACACCCUCAAAUAAACCCUGUGAAUGUUGAGUUACACAAGAUAAUUUUGUUCCGAACACAAGAAAAAUGCUUGAUCAAAACAUGGAAAAAAACAAACAGAUGUCACGAAUCCACGUAUCACAUAGCAGAAGGACUGGAGUUAACUUCAAAGAAUUUAAUCUUGAUAAUGCAUAGCAAAUUUUGCAAAUUUGUCAAAGAAAUAAGGAAGAAACGUUUUUGAAGAAGAGAUAAAGCAUCCGAGAGGAUAUUGGUAUUUAAAAAAUAAUACUGUUAGAGGAGGUGUCUGAGUCAAUACUUUUCAUUAAUUAUAUUCUGAUAUUGUGACACAUUGAGAUAUUUUCAAUUUAAUAUAUUUAUAAGUUACAAUUUUCGAUCUCAAAAGUAAAGAAAGUGGUUUAUACUGGAAUUAUAAACCAUAGCAUAUAGCAAUAUCACCUUUUAUUCAUCACACUGGCUUCCAUAAAUAUUUAAUUUUACAACCUUGCAUGAUUGAUUAUGAUCAACAAUAACACAAUUGAAUUGGCUAAUUGGGUAACAUAAAAUCUGCUUUAUAUAUAUAAUAA